rnacentral:sRNA from 1 species
ACAGAGCAUGGGGAGCUGGCAGGAAGUUGGAGCACGCAUGGUGCAGCUUGUAUUUUUGUUGAUAGUUAAUAACCCAGGACUUUAAAGACCUGAAUGGAGAAGGGAAAUGAAGCACAACCAACUUUGGAGUCUGUCCCAUUGCAGAGGCUGCUGAAGCACAGUAGAGCACGCUCACCUGACCAGCUCAUAAAGCAGUUACCUGGCUGAGCAGUGCUGGAAUGGCGGCUUUAUCUACCUGAUCAUGCUGCGUCGCUUUAAGCACAAAGCCCACUCCACUUAUAAUGGCAACAGUAGCAACAGCUCUGAACCGGGAGAAACACCUACCUUGGAGCUGGGUGACCGAACUGCGAAAAAGGGGAAACGAACCAGAAAGUUUGGGGUCAUCUCCAGGCCUCCUGCCAACAAGGCCCCUGAAGAAUCCAAGGGCAGCGCUGGCUGUGAGGUGUCCAGUGACCCCAGCACUGAGCUGGAGAACGGCCCUGACCCUGAACUUGGAAACGGCCAUGUCUUUCAGCUAGAAAAUGGCCCAGAUUCUCUCAAGGAGGUGGCUGGACCCCAUCUAGAGAGGUCAGAAGUGGACAG